ensembl:lncRNA
ACACACACACACACACAUAACAUGCACACUACACACACAUAACAUACACACUAUACACACACACACAAACACACACACACACAUAACAUACACACUAUACACACACACAUACAAUACACACUACACACACACACACACACACACACACACACACACAUAACACACACACACACACACACACACACACACACACACACACACACACAUAACAUACACACAUAACAUGCACACUACACACACACAUAACAUACACACUAUUACACACACAUAACAUACACACUACACACACACACACAUAACAUGCACACUACACACACACACAUAACAUACACACUAUACACACACAUAACAUACACACUAUACACAGAGAGAACACAGAAGUAGAGAGAAGAAGAGAGAGUACACAGCAGUAGAGAGAGACAGACAGACAGACAGGUAGAGAGAGAGAGAGAGAGAGAGAGAGACAGGUAGAGAGAGACAGGUAGAAAGAGACAGGUCGAGGGAGAGGGGUAGAGAGAUACAGGUAGAGAGAGACAGGGAGAGGGGUAGAGAGAGACAGGUAGAGGGAGAGGGGUAGAGAGAGAGGUAGAGGUAACAGAGCGAGAGACAGGUAGAGGGAGAGGUAAAAUAUGUAGAGAGGUAGAACUAACAUAUGUGAGGUAACAGAGAGAGACAGGCAGAGAGAGACAGGUAGAGAGAGAGGUAGAGGUAACAGAGAGAGGUAGAGGUAACAGAGAGAGGUGGGGGAGAGACAGGAGGAGAGGUAGAGGUAGAGGUAACAGAGAGAGGUAGAGAGGUAGAGGUAACAGAGAGAGGUGGGGGAGAGACAGGAGGAGAGGUAGAGGUAGAGGUAACAGAGAGAGGUGGGGGAGAGACAGGAGGAGAGGUAGAGGUAGAGGUAACAGAGAGCGGUAGAGAAGUAGAGGUAACAGAUAUGCGGUAACAGAGUCAGAUUGGAAUAGCAGGUGGCUCUGACCUACAAAUAAUCUGAGAGAAAUAAGAACAAUGAAAAGGAGGAAGAGAGGAGAAGAAAGUGA